rnacentral:rRNA from 1 species
AUGGUGUGUAAUUUUUGGUGGGCUAACCAAGAAGAUGAGGAGAAACAUGAUUGGGUAAGUUGGGAAAAGAUGACGUUGCCGAAGGAGCAGGGUGGUCUGGGCUUUCGCGAUCUACAUGCUUUUAAUGUUGCCAUGUUGGCACGUCAGGUGUGGCGUUUGAUCCAAGUUUCGCAAAGUCUAUGUGCACAAAUUCUGCAAGCCAAGUACUUUCCCCAUGGGGACGUCCUGAAGGCUACAACACAGCCGGCGAUGAGCUAUGUAUGGAGGAGCCUGAUACAAGGUGUUCAGGUGAUUAAGGCAGGGAUUAUAUGGAGGGUGGGAUCAGGGGAACAAAUUAACAUGUGGACGGAUCCAUGGCUGCCCUUAAAUGACACACGGCGCCCACGUACCCUCUAG